AGAAAUAAGCCCACAAUCUUCCAAGUCCAAAUCUCACGCGGGCAAAAAAAUAAAUUAAGUAGAAUAAAAAAAAAAUUGGUCUUUCUUAAUCGUUCUUCUCCUUCACUUCGACCGACGGCGAAGACCCCUCUCUGCUUACCGCACCUCCGCAAACCGCCGGUGAAGGCGCCAGUGCCGACUGCGUAUCCCACCACCGGAGACGGUACACCACCCAAGGUAUUGGUUAGGUCUUGUAAUCUAGAAAAUGCUUUCUGGUGUGAAAUUCAUUCCUCGUGACCAGGUGCAAGAUGAUAACUUGGAUUCUGUUUCCAAAGAUAGAAAAAAAUCAGAUAGUAGAAGGAAAAAGGAUAAAAGGAAAGGGAAGAGCUCUAGGAAUAUAUCUUCUGAUGAGGAUGAGCUUGAUAAGAUAAAAAAAGGAUCUAGAAAGAAGAAAUGGUAUUCGUCCGAUGAAAGUUCUUCGUCUUAUACAACUGAAAGUGAAAGUGACCGGGAUGAUAAGAAAGGGAGAAGGAAAGGGAAGAAGAAAAAGGGUGAUGGUUCGUCGGAUUAUUCCGGUGAAAGGUCAAAACGAAAGACGAGGUCAAGGAGUGGUAAAAAGGAAUAUACAUCGGAGGAAGGUUCAUCUUCUUCAGAUGGUAGUGAUGGUUCUUUGGGUCGCCAAGGGAAGCAUCGAAAGUCACGUACAAAAGAUGGGAGUAGAGAGAAUAAGAUCAAAGGUGAAGCUACUGACAUGGCAGCCAAUUCUACAAGUGAGAAGGAUAUUGCAAGAAAAGAAAUGGGAUUGGAUUGGAUGCUUCGGUCUGAAAGUAAGAGGCCUACAGUUUCAGAAACAAAGGAGAUAUUGCCAGAGGAAGUUCCAGUUGAGGAGUUACCGAAGUUUGUGUGUUUAGAAGAUAAUGUUGUUUCGAAUUGCCAUUACCGAAAUGGUUUAAAGGGUAAACUGGUCAAGAUGGGGGCCUGAGAGUAUUAUAGGAGGGCUGAAAAAGCAAUUUUCCGUAUUUCAUUAGAGAGCUCCACCAAUUACAAAACAAAAUGGCAGCAAGUAAACCAGGUGAAUCAAGCAAACAAAUUUGGCCAUAUCUUUUUGCCCCCUUAAUCUUUUAUCACUUUCAUCUCUUUUUGCCCUCAACCACUCUCAAUCUCUCUCUCUCUACUCUCACCAUCUCGUCCUUCACCAAAACAAUCUCCACCACCACCUAAAAAUCAAUCUAACUUCCUCUUCACUUCUGGUUACGCCGCCUCCCAUCAUAACCACGUUCUUCUUCCUCUCAGGUAGUUGAAGUUUCCACUUCCAAAACUGAAAAACAUGGACACAGUCCUCCCGUUCUAUCUCCGACAAAGAAUUUCCGGCAUCGUGUUGAUCAAGCAAUGGAUUCGUUGGAAUCACUGGAGAAAGGAUCAGAUCAUUAGAU